GUGGGGAAUAUUGGACAAUGGGCGCAAGCCUGAUCCAGCCAUGCCGCGUGAGUGAUGAAGGCCUUAGGGUUGUAAAGCUCUUUUGUCCGGGAAGAUAAUGACUGUACCGGAAGAAUAAGCCCCGGCUAACUUCGUGCCAGCAGCCGCGGUAAUACGAAGGGGGCUAGCGUUGUUCGGAAUCACUGGGCGUAAAGCGCACGUAGGCGGACCAUUAAGUCAGGGGUGAAAGCCUGGAGCUCAACUCCAGAACUGCCUUUGAUACUGAUGGUCUCGAGUAUGGAAGAGGUUGGUGGAACUGCGAGUGUAGAGGUGAAAUUCGUAGAUAUUCGGAAGAACACCAGUGGCGAAGGCGACUCACUGGCCCGUUACUGACGCUGAGGCGCGAAAGCGUGGGGAGCAAACAGGAUUAGAAACCCUGGUAGUCC
rnacentral:rRNA from 1 species